AUUAGAAGAGAAAAUAAUUGAUUUAUUUUCCAUUUGAACAGUAUUAUAUUGUUUGAAUAAUAGGAUGAAAUGAAAUAAAAGCAUGAUUUAUCUAUAAAAUGCUGCAUAGUAUUACUUAUGAAUAAAAUAAAAUUAAUUUCUAAUCAAAGAUAACUUAGAAUUAACAAGUGCUAUGUCCACAAUUAAUUUUUUAAUGCCAGUUCUCAAUCAUUCACUAAUUCUAAACAGCUCUACCACUACAAGUCCUAUCAUAAGUCUCCAACAUUCAUGGAAGAUCUGCUGGAUUGUACAAGAUGAUGAUCAACAAGCUGGCAUGGAUCUCUCAUAUAAAUUUUCUAAUAGAUGGAUUUCUAAUUUGAUCCAGAGUCGUUUGAUUGGAAAGCCAAAGAGUUUCCACCUAAUGUGAAUAUCCUGGAUGUUAUAUACACUGUGUCUGAAUAACAUAUUAAUUAAACUAUAUUUUAAUUAGUACUUAUAUAAGAUAUGGUUACCUUAUUUUCUUUAUCACUAUAUGGUUUCCGUUCUGUUCUAUUAUGAAGAGAAAUAUAAGAAAUAAUCUUUAUUACAUUUCAC
rnacentral:lncRNA from 1 species